AUUGAACGCUGGCGGCAUGCCUUACACAUGCAAGUCGAACGGCAGCACGGGAGCUUGCUCCUGGUGGCGAGUGGCGAACGGGUGAGUAAUGCAUCGGAACGUGCCCUGAAGUGGGGGAUAACGUAGCGAAAGUUACGCUAAUACCGCAUAUUCUGUGAGCAGGAAAGCAGGGGAUCUUCGGACCUUGCGCUUUUGGAGCGGUCGAUGUCGGAUUAGCUAGUUGGUGGGUAAGGCCACCAAGGCGACGAUCCGUAGCGGGUCUGAGAGGAUGAUCCGCCACACUGGAACUGAGACACGGUCCAGACUCCUACGGGAGGCAGCAGUGGGGAAUUUUGGACAAUGGGCGCAAGCCUGAUCAGCCAUGCCGCGUGAGUGAAG
rnacentral:rRNA from 1 species